AANAUGCAGUNNANGNUAGCAGGAAGGAAGCUUGCUUUCUUUGCUGACGAGUGGCGGACGGGUGAGUAAUGCUUGGGAAUCUGGCUUAUGGAGGGGGAUAACUGCGGGAAACUGCAGCUAAUACCGCGUAAAGUCUUUGGACUAAAGGGGGCGUUUGCUCUUGCCAUAAGAUGAGCCCAAGUGGGAUUAGGUAGUUGGUGGGGUAAUGGCUCACCAAGCCGUCGAUCUCUAGCUGGUCUGAGAGGAUGACCAGCCACACCGGGACUGAGACACGGCCCGGACUCCUACGGGAGGCAGCAGUGGGGAAUAUUGCGCAAUGGGGGGAACCCUGACGCAGCCAUGCCGCGUGAAUGAAGAAGGCCUUCGGGUUGUAAAGUUCUUUCGGUGAUGAGGAAGGCAGUUUGGUUAAUAGCCAAGCUGAUUGACGUUAGUCACAGAAGAAGCACCGGCUAACUCCGUGCCAGCAGCCGCGGUAAUACGGAGGGUGCGAGCGUUAAUCGGAAUAACUGGGCGUAAAGGGCACGCAGGCGGAUUUUUAAGUGAGGUGUGAAAGCCCUGGGCUUAACCUGGGAAUUGCAUUUCAGACUGGGAAUCUAGAGUACUUUAGGGAGGGGUAGAAUUCCACGUGUAGCGGUGAAAUGCGUAGAGAUGUGGAGGAAUACCGAAGGCGAAGGCAGCCCCUUGGGAAUGUACUGACGCUCAUGUGCGAAAGCGUGGGGAGCAAACAGGAUUAGAUACCCUGGUAGUCCACGCUGUAAACGCUGUCGAUUUGGGGGUUGGGGUUUAACUCUGACGCCCGUAGCUAACGUGAUAAAUCGACCGCCUGGGGAGUACGGCCGCAAGGUUAAAACUCAAAUGAAUUGACGGGGGCCCGCACAAGCGGUGGAGCAUGUGGUUUAAUUCGAUGCAACGCGAAGAACCUUACCUACUCUUGACAUCCAGAGAAUCCUGUAGAGAUACGGGAGUGCCUUCGGGAGCUUUGAGACAGGUGCUGCAUGGCUGUCGUCAGCUCGUGUUGUGAAAUGUUGGGUUAAGUCCCGCAACGAGCGCAACCCUUAUCCUUUGUUGCCAGCGAUACGGUCGGGAACUCAAAGGAGACUGCCGGUGAUAAACCGGAGGAAGGUGGGGAUGACGUCAA
rnacentral:rRNA from 1 species